rnacentral:tRNA from 1 species
GCGGCUGUGGUCUAGUGGUAUGAUGGGAGCUUCCCAAGCUCUAGAUCCGAGUUCGAUUCUCGGCAGCCGCA